GAUGAACGCUGGCGGCGUGCCUAAUACAUGCAAGUCGAGCGAACAGAUAAGGAGCUUGCUCCUUUGACGUUAGCGGCGGACGGGUGAGUAACACGUGGAUAACCUACCUAUAAGACUGGGAUAACUUCGGGAAACCGGAGCUAAUACCGGAUAACAUAUUGAACCGCAUGGUUCAAUAGUGAAAGGCGGCUUUGCUGUCACUUAUAGAUGGAUCCGCGCCGUAUUAGCUAGUUGGUAAGGUAACGGCUUACCAAGGCAACGAUACGUAGCCGACCUGAGAGGGUGAUCGGCCACACUGGAACUGAGACACGGUCCAGACUCCUACGGGAGGCAGCAGUAGGGAAUCUUCCGCAAUGGGCGAAAGCCUGACGGAGCAACGCCGCGUGAGUGAUGAAGGUCUUCGGAUCGUAAAACUCUGUUAUCAGGGAAGAACAAAUGUGUAAGUAACUGUGCACAGCUUGACGGUACCUGAUCAGAAAGCCACGGCUAACUACGUG
rnacentral:rRNA from 1 species